GCUCUUUUCCUCUCAGCAUUAACAGCGACUCUCUACUGUGCUGUAGUCGGUCAGAUUAAAUUCACUAUGAUUCCAGAACAGGAGGUCUACCAAGCAGAAGAAAACAGUAACAUCACGUUGACCUGGCCGUUCCAUUUCGACUCCAACAGGCCUAUUGACUUCGUACAAAUAGAGCUAAUAAAUGUGGAAAAGAAGACACGGGUUUACUUAUAUAACAGUAAGACUGGCACUGAGGUGUAUCUAGAUGAGAACUACAGAGGACGACUGCAGUGUGAUCCACAGCUCGCCAGGAAAGGACGGCUUGAAUGUCUCUUAACUGAUCUCAGGCUCAACGACACGGGGACAUAUCACUGCAUCGUUGUCCAUAACGAAGAAGUUAGUUCCAAAACAUAUGACCUCAAUGUUACAGCUGCUGUUGAAAAACUGAAGACAGAAACACUGAAACCAGAGAGCCGUCAGAGGAUCGGUCUUUAUUUAGCUCUGGGUUUGUUUGUAGUGGUGAUUUUUGCACUUUCCCGGCAUUACUUAACGUGUUGUAAAUAAUUAAUAUAAUUUGUAUUAAUGUAAAGUAGCAGCCCAUUACAGAUCACUCCUGAGGUCACCUCUGACUGUAAUGAGGCUGCUGACUGUUUUUAAAAUAUUGUUGC
ensembl:lncRNA